AGACCGAUAGCGAACAAGUAGAGUGAUCGAAAGAUGAAAAGCACUUUGAAAAGAGGGUUAAAAAGUACGUGAAAUUGUUGAAAGGGAAGCGCCUGUGACCAGACUUGCGCCCCGCGGACCACCCGGCGUUCUCGCCGGUGCACUCUGCGGUGCGCAGGCCAGCAUCGGUUCUCCCAGGGGGACAAAGGCCGCGGGAACGUAGCUCCUUCGGGAGUGUUAUAGCCCGCGGCGGCAUGCCCCUGGGGGGACCGAGGACCGCGCUUCGGCAAGGAUGCUGGCGUAAUGGUCACCAGCGACCCGUCUUGAAACACGGACCAAG
rnacentral:rRNA from 1 species